UGCUAUGGAGACAGUGAAACCCUAUGCUUUCACCAUGUCAUCACUUACUCCAAACACCUCUCUGAAUGGGAAAUAAUCAAAGACUGGAGCUCGGAUGGGUCGUAAACGUUUAUUGGAUCUCUAACAGCUUUGACUUUUAUUCUGUUUAACAGGUUUCCAGAUUCCUGUCAGUGAUAAUCACACACACGUUCACGUCGAGAGACCGCGCGGAGAGAUGAGAGGAGACGCAGGAGUUUACGCCUCGUGGUUUCUCGCUAACGUGACAAGCUGCAACUUUUAGUCUUAUUAACUUCGAGAGAAAAAAAAGCAUUUAUAUACGCUAUGCCUGCCUCGUUAUCCAUCCUCAUCUACUACAGGUGACGUAAUCCUAGCGUACGUAGCGAACAGACGACAGGAAACCACGGCGAUCUGGACGUAUUCCACGAUUACUGAUACGAAGCAGGCUGCAAACUGAACACAUCAAAAGGAGGAGCUACAGCCAAUACCACCCAAAACACCUUAAACAUUAAACUCAACACGACGAGAUCACAGCCAGGCGAGAAAAAACUUCUACAGACGGUCAGUGAAAACCUUCCUCACGAUCAUACGCUAUCGUCAUGGCAACAAGAGAUUCCAAAGCAGCAGCAACAACAACGUACUUACAGCUGCACAUAAACACUUUUCUGACGUGAAACAAAGCCCGCUCUUCUCCACUGCGAACUGCCUCGCGUAGCUAGCUAACGAGCUUCAUUUUUAUUCAAAUCGCCUCGCUAACGCGAUAAAGAGCGAGUGUCGUGUAUUCAUGAAUGUAAAGAUAAACAGAGGUUCAGUGACAUCACAGACUGAUUUAAACUCAGGACGUUAGACUUUACGCUAAAAACAACGCAGUCUGGAUGAAGAAACUAGCAUCAGCGCAGCUCUAGCUAUAAUGUAGGAGAGAACUUGUUUCGCCAACUUUCCACAACAUUAAAGGACAUCGUGCAGGGUGCAGCUGAUGAACAGGGGAUGAGUGUUUAAUAACGGAGUGUGUGACAUGAUGACAUGGAUGAGACGUGGAGUGUGUGAGUGUGUGAGUGUGUGUGUGUGUGUGUGUGUGUGGAGUCUGAUAGGCGAGAGGUCGUGGAGUUCGACUGCAGAAAAAGACACCAAAAUUCAGCUGAAUAAAAACCCUGCUGCUACUCAGCUCCCGCUCGUGUAAUUGGUGUUGGAGGAGCUCUGUGUGUGUGUGUGUGUGUGUGUGUGUGUGUGUGUGUGUGUGUGUGAGAGUGAGUGAGUGAGUGAGAGGUGGAUUUAGGGGUUUUUGUUCCGUUCCUCGGUUCCCUGCUGUUUAUGGAUGCUCACCAAAUCUGUUCUCGGCGUAUGAAAGAAGAAGCUGGUCUUUUCUCUCGUCCGCUUCAGUUCUCAUCGUUUAAAACCCAGUGAAGACGCAGAACAGCGCAAACUGUGACCUUUAACCCAGAAACGCAGUCGAUCUGCUGAGACACACACCGCUCACGUCAUUCAUUCCGUCCUGGAGCUAAGAAGAACCCCCACGUUCACCCUCCACCACACACCACAGAUCCUCAGUUCGAUGCGAUCAGUCAGUUCCUGCGAACACGGAGGAAAGCGUAGGACCUCGUUACGGUUUCAUCUUCUCCCGUCACGUCCGACGCUCAUUACACGUGUACGGAGACGUUAGGAGGAAGAGUAGAGCUUGGAAGCAGCAGAUUGUUGGUGCCUGUGAUUUACAGGGCAUCAGUAGAAUCAGGACAGACUGAUGCUGAUGGACGAGUCCUCGGAGCUUCUCUGUAACGAGCCGCGAGAGGACGAAACGUCUGGAGCUCAUGAACAUUUGUGACUGUAACGGCGUUAACAAAAAUCGAUCCAGUGGCAUUUGUCCUGAAAAUAACUAUCGACUGUCCCGAGUUAAAACCAGCCGAAAUUACACCAGUCACAUUUCAUCAGCGGCCCGAGCGUCCCUACAGCACCGCUGGAUCAUUAACGGAGCAGUUUAAAGGCCAAACGUGACACGCACACCCGUUUAUCAUCCACAGCUAAUUUACCCCCUCAGCACAGACGUGUUUACUGUCUGACGUUUACUCAUCUAAAUCAAAUUAAUCAUCUAAUCUAAACCGUCCAGAUCAUCUAAUCUGAGUCAUAUAAAUGAUCUACAUCAUCUACAGCAUCAGAUUUAUGAAUAAGGGCAGUGGUGCUCAGGGGUAAAGGGGGGUGGGGGUCAGGCCCCAGCACCGCCCUGCUGCCACUGUUAGACCCCUGCUCUAGGGGGUGCUGUACCAUGGCUGACCUCUGACCCCUGACCCCAACUUCCUAACAAGCAGAUAAAUGCAAAGAAAAUGAUUUCACUGUGCUGUAAUGUGAGAAAUAAAGGCUUCUUCAAACCUAAAUCAUCCAAAUAGUCAAUAUUUACAGCCUGGAUUUAAAAUUUUACUAAUAAAGUUUAUUCUGCUUUAUUUUAUAUUAGGUUAUUAGUUUCUGUAGACGUCUACCUGUCUGUCUGUCUGUCUGUCUGUUUACCGGUUAACUGUAUGAUCACACCAGUAUAUCUGUCUAUCUAUCUGACAGUCUGUCUACCUGUAUCUCGGUCUGUUUACCUGUCUGUCUGCCUGUCUGUCUGUCUCCCGGUCAUGUGGUAUUAAACCGUGUGGUAUUUCAUGGUGGUGUUUACGGUGUGUUCGGUUUUCUUGUCUCAGUGUCUCAGAGUAAACAACUCGUUAAAGUGAAUGAUUUAAUUCCUCUGUGUGUUUAUUCUGUCCUUAAUGAAUUAAAUCUGCAGUAAUCUGUGUCUCCAUUACACCAACACAUUCUGUUUAUUCUAUUAUUCACACUGAGAAAGCGGCUCUGCGUUCACACAGC